rnacentral:ncRNA from 1 species
UAUUAUCUUCAGGGUCUGGUGAGCGUAAUAGCAAUUCCAAACCGGUGGUAUAGUCCACGAGCUUUAGCUGAACUGGUGAAAUUCCAGUACCGACGGUAAAGUCCGGAAUAAAGAAGAUUAAA